UACGUAGGGGGCAAGCGUUGUCCGGAUUUAUUGGGCGUAAAGAGCUCGUAGGUGGUUCGGUAAGUCGGAUGUGAAAUCUCCAGGCUCAACCUGGAGGGGUCAUUCGAUACUGCCGUGACUAGAGGUCGGUAGGGGAGUGUGGAAUUCCUGGUGGAGCGGUGAAAUGCGCAGAUAUCAGGAGGAACACCCGUAGCGAAGGCGGCACUCUGGGCCGAUACUGACACUG
rnacentral:rRNA from 1 species